UUGAAAGGGAAACGAUUGAAGUCAGUCGUACCAGCGGGAAUCAACCUUUCGAGUGGGGGUUUUGGAGUUUUGAAGAGUUUCAAAACCUUUGAGAUUUUAAAAUUUUCGCUCUUUUGGUGUACUUUCUCGUGGGUAGGUUAACAUCGAUUUUGAUCAUCAUAAAAAGACUGGAGGAAUGUAGCUUCGAUCUUGUAUUGAAGUGUUAUAGCCUUUGGUAAAUGUGAUGAUUAGGAUCGAGGAUUGCAACGAAUACCCUUCUGGGCUAUCCUGCCUGAUCUCUGAUACGUGGCCUUGGCAUCGAAAGCUUGCUUAUGGUAUCAAGGUAUUACGGUCAAAAGGUUAGAACGGAUUACAUUCGUUAAGGAUGUUGACGUA
rnacentral:rRNA from 1 species